CUCAAAUUUAAAAUCUGGCGGUUUCACCGUCCGAGUUGUAAUCUGGAGAAGCGUUUUCCGCGUCGGACCGUGUAUAAGUCUCUUGGAACAGAGCGUCAUAGAGGGUGAGAAUCCCGUCCAUGACACGGACUCCCGAUGCUUUGUGAUACGCUCUCAAAGAGUCGAGUUGUUUGGGAAUGCAGCUCAAAAUGGGUGGUAAAUUCCAUCUAAAGCUAAAUAUUGGCGAGAGACCGAUAGCGAACAAGUACCGUGAGGGAAAGAUGAAAAGCACUUUGGAAAGAGAGUUAAAUAGUACGUGAAAUUGUUGAAAGGGAAACGCUUGAAGUCAGUCGCGUUGUACAGAGCUCAGCCUUGCUUCUGCUUGGUGUAUUCUCUGUGUCGACGGGUCAACGUCAAUUUCAGCCGGUGGAGAAGGGCUUAGGGAACGUGGCGUUGUUUCGGCGACGUGUUAUAGCCUUAGGUCGUAUGCAUCGGCAGGGAUUGAGGACCGCAGCACGCCCUUGUGGCCGGGGGUUCGCCCUACGUUUGUGCUUAGGAUGUUGGCAUAAUGGCUUUAAGCGACCCGUCUUGAAACACGGACCAAGGAGUCUAACAUGCCUGCGAGUGUUCGGGUGGAAAACCCUUGCGCAUAAUGAAAGUGAAAGUUGGGAUCCCUCGCAAGGGGGUGCACCGACGCCCGGCCCUGACGUUCUCUGACGGUGCUGCGGUAGAGCAUGUAUGUUGGGACCCGAAAGAUGGUGAACUAUGCCUGAAUAGGGUGAAGCCAGAGGAAACUCUGGUGGAGGCUCGUAGCGAUUCUGACGUGCAAAUCGAUCGUCAAAUUUGGG
rnacentral:rRNA from 1 species